UAAGACAUGCAAGUCGAACGCUGAUUCCGAGAUAGCAAUAUUUCGGAGUCGGAGUGGCGCAAGGGUGCGUAACACGUGGGUAAUUUACCGUGAAGUUUGGAAUAACUCGCUGAAAGGCGAGCUAAUACCGGAUGUGAUUCUUGGGAAGCAUUUCCUGAUACUCAAAGUUGGGGACCGUAAGGCCUGACGCUUCAUGAUAAGCCCGCGGCCUAUCAGCUAGUUGGUGAGGUAAUGGCUCACCAAGGCUAAGACGGGUAGCUGGUCUGAGAGGACGACCAGCCACACUGGAACUGAGACACGGUCCAGACACCUACGGGUGGCAGCAGUCGAGAAUUUUUCUCAAUGGGCGAAAGCCUGAAGGAGCGACGCCGCGUGGGGGAUGAAUGGCUUCGGCCCGUAAACCCCUGUCAUUUGCGGACAAACCUUGUUAUUUAAAAGAUGACAAGCUGAUAGUAGCGAAAGAGGAAGGGACGGCUAACUCUGUGCCAGCAGCCGCGGUAAUACAGAGGUCCCAAGCGUUGUUCGGAUUCACUGGGCGUAAAGGGUGCGUAGGUGGUCGGGUAAGUCUGAUGUGAAAUCUCCGAGCUUAACUCGGAAACUGCAUUGGAUACUAUUCGGCUGGAGGGUUGGAGGGGGGACUGGAAUUCUCGGUGUAGCAGUGAAAUGCGUAGAUAUCGAGAGGAACACCAGUGGCGAAGGCGAGUCCCUGGACAACUCCUGACACUGAGGCACGAAAGCUAGGGGAGCAAACAGGAUUAGAUACCCUGGUAGUCCUAGCCGUAAACGGUGCACAUUUGCUGUAAAAGGAAUCGACCCCUUUUGUGGCGUAGCAAACGCGUUAAAUGUGCCGCCUGGGAAGUACGGUCGCAAGAUUAAAACUCAAAGAAAUUGACGGGGGCCUGCACAAGCGGUGGAGUAUGUGGCUUAAUUCGAUGCAACGCGAAGAACCUUACCUGGCCUUGACAUGUAUCUAGUAGAAGGGUGAAAGCCUGACGAGGUAGCAAUACCAGGAUACACAGGUGCUGCAUGGCUGUCGUCAGCUCGUGUC
rnacentral:rRNA from 1 species